AACCCUGCCUGCUGUCGGCAUUGGAAACUUUUGCCUCAUUCAGAAACGUUUAUUCAGUACCUACUGUAUGUCAGGCACUGGUAUAGGGGUUUUGGACAUAAAAAAGAUUUCUUAAAAGGUGUCUACUGUUUAGUAGAAAGAGUGAUGAUUGAAUUAUUCAUUCAUUCAUUUAUUCAUCAAAUAGUUAUGGAAUCUUUCCCAUGUGCCAGAGACUGUUCUAGCACUUAGAGUACCAGUGUAAACCCAGCAGAUAAAGGUCCUGCCUUCUGCUGAUGAAAUGGCAGAGGCGGGUGUCCCGGGGAUGGAGGAGGCAUCCAUCGGGCCUGGAGCAGCCAGGGGGGCUCUCUCAGCACACCCAUCUGCAAAGGCUCAGAGGGUGAUGAGGAGUGACUGCUGACUGUUCUUUUAACUGUGACUUUAAAGUUUUUGUGAAGUUUAUAUGUGAGGUGUCACCAUUGUACUUCCUAACAACCCAAAAGGGACCUGGCAGAGGAAACAUAGCAUCUCAACAAAGGACAUUUUGAGAAACCGAAAGUGCAGGGAGAAGACCGAGAGAAAGUAUAAAAUAAGAUAUCAAAAAAGGAGAAACCGGAAUAGAAAUCAAGCUCCAGAAAGCCGUCGGAAGUGGAAAUGCAGGGAGGCCUCAGGGCAUAUUAGAAAAGGCUCAGAAUCGGGAGCAAGAGAAGCAAAGACAGUGGGGAAUUUGUUCUGCAGCAACAAUGGAUUCCAGGGCAAUAGUGGCCACAGUGACAAGCAUCUUGCUGUUCUCCGCAUGGUUGAAGCUUGGUUGCCUCUAUGUUAAUGUCCAGCCAGCAAGGAAGGAAAAGAGUGCAACGGAGACCCACCCAUGUUCUUGAGGCUCAGGCCAGAAGCAGCACACGUCACUUCUUCUCAUAUUCCACUGCUAACUGCAAGGGGGGCUAGUUACUGAGGAGGGGAAAUUGGCUACUGGUGGACAAUUAGCAUUUUCUUCAAUAAUAUCAUAAUUUUGAAGGAAUGGGUCAAAUGGUGCAAAUUUGAAGCACAGUGGUAGGUAGGUGAAAAACUUACUUUUUUGUGUUUGUGUGUGAGGACGACUGGCCCUGAGCUAACAUCUGUCGCCAAUCCUCCUCUUUUUUGCUUGAGGAAGAUUGUCGCUGAGCUAACAUCCAUGCCAGUCUUCCUCUGUUUUUUGUAAGAUGCCAACACAGCACGGCUUGAUGAGCAGUGCUAGGUCCACACCUGGGAUCUGAACCUACGAACCCUGGGCCUCCAAAGCAGAGUGUGCGAACUUAACCGCUACACCACC
rnacentral:lncRNA from 1 species